rnacentral:tRNA from 1 species
GCUGGGGUGGUGGAACUGGUAGACACGCUAUCUUGAGGGGGUAGUGGGAGAGAUUCCCGUGCGGGUUCGAGUCCCGCCCUCAGCA